AUUGAACGCUGGCGGCAGGCCUAACACAUGCAAGUCGAGCGGAUGAAGGGAGCUUGCUCCUGGAUUCAGCGGCGGACGGGUGAGUAAUGCCUAGGAAUCUGCCUGGUAGUGGGGGAUAACGUCCGGAAACGGGCGCUAAUACCGCAUACGUCCUGAGGGAGAAAGUGGGGGAUCUUCGGACCUCACGCUAUCAGAUGAGCCUAGGUCGGAUUAGCUAGUUGGUGGGGUAAAGGCCUACCAAGGCGACGAUCCGUAACUGGUCUGAGAGGAUGAUCAGUCACACUGGAACUGAGACACGGUCCAGACUCCUACGGGAGGCAGCAGUGGGGAAUAUUGGACAAUGGGCGAAAGCCUGAUGCAGCCAUGCCGCGUGUGUGAAGAAGGUCUUCGGAUUGUAAAGCACUUUUAGUUGGGAGGAAGGGCAGUAAGUUAAUACCUUGCUGUUUUGACGUUACCAACAGAAUAAGCACCGGCUAACUUCGUG
rnacentral:rRNA from 1 species